rnacentral:rRNA from 1 species
UACGAAGGGACCUAGCGUAGUUCGGAAUUACUGGGCUUAAAGAGCACGUAGGUGGUUAGAAAAGUUGGUGGUGAAAUCCCAGAGCUUAACUCUGGAACUGCCAUCAAAACUUUUUGACUAGAGUAUGAUAGAGGUAAGCGGAAUUUCUAGUGUAGAGGUGAAAUUCGUAGAUAUUAGAAAGAACACCAAUUGCGAAGGCAGCUUUCUGGAUCAUUACUGACACUGAGGUGCGAAAGCAUGGGUAGCGAAGAGG